AGAGUGAACGCUGGCGGUAGGCCUAACACAUGCAAGUCGAACGGCAGCACGGUAAGAGCUUGCUCUUAUGGGUGGCGAGUGGCGGACGGGUGAGGAAUACAUCGGAAUCUACCUUUUGGUGGGGGAUAACGUAGGGAAACUUACGCUAAUACCGCAUACGCCCUUCGGGGGAAAGCCGGGGACCAGCAAUGGCCUGGUGCUGAUAGAUGAGCCGAUGUCGGAUUAGCUAGUUGGUGAGGUAAUGGCUCACCAAGGCGACGAUCCGUAGCUGGUCUGAGAGGAUGAUCAGCCACACUGGAACUGAGACACGGUCCAGACUCCUACGGGAGCAGCAGUGGGGAAUAUUGGACAAGUGGGCGACAAGCCUGAUCCAGCCAUACCGCGUGGUGAAGAA
rnacentral:rRNA from 1 species